GAUGAAGAACGUAGCGAAAUGCGAUAAGUAAUGCGAAUUGCAGAAUUCAGUGAGUCAUCGAAUCUUUGAACGCACAUUGCGCCCUGUGGUAUUCCGCAGGGCAUGCCUGUUCGAGCGUCAUUUCAACCCUCAAGCCUCGCUUGGUGUUGGGCCCUGCCCGCCGCGGCCGGCCCUAAAGAUAGUGGCGGCGCCGCCUGGCCCUCAGCGUAGUACAGCCCUCGCUCCAGGGUCCGGCGGCAGCCUGCCAGAACCCCCCAACUCUGUGGUUGACCUCGGAUCAGGUAGGGAUACCCGCUGAACUUAAGCAUAUCAAUAAGCGGAGGA
rnacentral:misc_RNA from 1 species